AGACCACUGAGGAGUCCCAUACUAGGACGAAACGGCCGUCAAUGGUGG
rnacentral:hammerhead_ribozyme from 1 species